AUUGAACGCUGGCGGCAUGCCUUACACAUGCAAGUCGAACGGUAACAGGUUAAGCUGACGAGUGGCGAACGGGUGAGUAAUAUAUCGGAACGUGCCCAGUAAUGGGGGAUAGCCCGGCGAAAGCCGGAUUAAUACCGCAUACGACCUACGGGUGAAAGCAGGGGAUCGCAAGACCUUGCGUUAUUGGAGCGGCCGAUAUCAGAUUAGCUUGUUGGUGGGGUAAAAGCCCACCAAGGCGACGAUCUGUAGCUGGUCUGAGAGGACGACCAGCCACACUGGGACUGAGACACGGCCCAGACUCCGUACGGGA
rnacentral:rRNA from 1 species